rnacentral:ncRNA from 1 species
GCUGGUUCCUUCCGAAGUUUCCCUCAGGAUAGCUGGAACUCUUGCAGUUAUAUUCGGUAAAGCUAAUGAUUAGAGGCCUUGGGGACGUAAUGUCCUCAACCUAUUCUCAAACUUUCAAUGGAUAUGGCGUCGCAGUUUCUUUAGUGAACUGCGGCGUGAAUGCGAGUUCCAAGUGGGCCAUUUUUGGUAAGCAGAACUGGCGCUGUGGGAUGAACCAAACGUGGAGUUAAGGUGCCUAACUUCUCGCUUAUGAGACCCCAUAAAAGGUGUUGGUUGAUAUUGACAGCAGGACGGUGGCCAUGGAAGUCGGUACCCGCUAAGGAGUGUGUAACAACUCACCUGCCGAAUCAACUAGCCCUGAAAAUGGAUGGCGCUUAAGCGAGAGACCUAUACUCCGCCGUCGCGGCAUGUGCGUUGUCUAGCGCCAGGUCGCGACGAGUAGGAAGGACGUGGCGGUUGCGUUGAAGGCUAUGAGCGUAGGCUCGGCUGGAGCUUCCGUCAGUGCAGAUCGUAAUGGUAGUAGCAAAUAUUCAAGUUCGAUCCUUGAAGACUGAAGUGGAGAAGGGUUCCACGUGAACAGUAGUUGGAUGUGGGUCAGUCGAUCCUAAGGUACUGGCGAAAGCCUUGUAUCAUCGGUGGCGAAAAGCUUGCUUUUUGUCCCCGCCCGUCGAAAGGGAAUAGGGUUAAUAUUCCCUAACUGAGAUGCAAAGAUUGUGUUCUUCGGAGCACAAGCGCGGUAACGCGUUCGAACUUGGUAAGUCGCUCAGAGACCGAGCUAGAGUUUUCUUCUCUAGUUAAGGAACGGACUCCCUGGAAUUGGUUCAGCCAGAGAUGGGGACGUUGUUUCCGAAAAGCACCGCGGUUUCUGUGGUGUCUCGUGCUCUCUGAACGGCCCUUUAAACACCAAGGGAGGCUAUUAAUUUGCACUCAAUCGUACCGAUAUCCGCAUUAGGUCUCCAAGGUGAACAGCCUCUAGUCGAUAGAAUAAUGUAGGUAAGGGAAGUCGGCAAACUAGAUCCGUAACUUCGGGAAAAGGAUUGGCUCCAGUGGUCGGAACGGUUGGCCAGUUGGUUGAUGCUUGUCCGGCGCUGUUCUGUCUGCUUGAUGUCUUCGGGCUGAUGGCGGCCUAGUGAUAGUGCUUGCUUGUUGACGCUUCUGGUGUGUGCUUUGA